CCUGCCCGGUUAUUCCAGUGAUUAAAGCAACUUUUUUAUCUGUUCCAUUUUGUUCUCCGUCAACAUGAUUUUCACCGCAUUUCUUAUUCAUAGUUCACAGUAUAAUACCAUUGAAAUACUAUGCCUUCGCCACAUAAAAUCGAGUUGCCACGUCGCAGCAUCCGAGUAAAUUUUAAAUGUUAAUGUAGGACUCGGUAGGAGACAAGAAUCUUUAGAAUUGGCAAACAAUUUAUCUGCAGGUGGAAUUGACGAGGUGUGACGAGACCUCUCUCCUCCGCAGAGCGGCAGAGAUUUCAAUGAGCUGUACAUGGCGCUUUAUACCAUAUCCAGUGUUCAUGACCAGGUUUUUUCAGAGGCAAUUACCACAUCCGGCUGCUUAAAAUUACCACAUUCGGCCAAAAAUUACCACGUAAUUUGCGCAUGAAUCAAUAGAUAAAAACUUACUUUAUCAGAAUGCGUUGCUCCCCAAGCGAAACAGGGGCAAAAUUGGGAAAAAUAU